CUAAAUUUCACAAUUCAAAAACUCGAGACCUCAACAACCACACUCUUGAAAGCCUCUCCUCACCACCACCACCACCACGACCAAGCAAUGUCCGCCCUAAUCCGCCGGUAUGCGGCGGUGCUCUGUCACAAACGCAUGCUCAAACCAAACUAUCCGACUCUUGUCUUGACCUGCCACGUCAGCACCUGGGUCGCCCCUCAACUAAACGGAGCUGCCGCCACCACGGGACUCUACGGUUUUGAUCAUUUAAAAACCCCUAAAGGGUUUCAACGUUUUGUUGAUGAUGCCAUUGAAAGGUCAGGGGAGCUGGUUAAUUAUAUUUCCAGUAUGCCUUCCUCGGCUGAAGUUUUACGAGCUAUGGAUGAGAUUUCUAACACGGUAUGUUGUGUUGUGGAUUCUGCGGAACUUUGUAGAAAUACUCAUCCAGACAGGGAAUUUGUUGAGGCAGCUGGUAAGGCAUCGAUGAGGAUUAAUGAAUAUCUACAUUACCUCAAUACGAAUCAUACUUUAUAUGCUGCGGUGAAAAGAGCAGAGAAAGAUGGACAUUUGCUCACAAAAGAGGCUCAUAGGGCUGCCAAUCAAUUACGUAUUGAUUUUGAGAAGGGCGGGAUUCAUCUCCCUCCUGAGAAGUUAGCUAGAGUGAAUCAGCUCCAUUUAAGCAUCCUUCAGCUAAGUAGAGAGUUUGGUGAAAAUAUUACUAUUGAUCCAGGUUAUGUGGAUAUAUUUCCAGCAUCUCGCAUCCCAAAACACAUACACCAUCUCCUAAAACCCGUUCACCGUUUUACUUCUGGAAGUUCCUCGGGAUCAUUAGGGUCAUGGAAUAACAUGAAAGAAAAAGGACUGCGAAUAACAACAGAUCAUCGUACGCUGGUUUCUGUGAUGCAUUGGGUCUCAGAUGAAGAGGUUAGGAAGAUGGCAUAUAUCCAAGGAAACUCUGUACCACAUGCAAACCUUGAAGUACUUGAUAAGCUUGCUGCAGCUCGUCAUGAACUGGCCCAGAUGAUGGGAUACAGAUCUUAUGCUGAAUUUGUUGUGAAACCAAACUUGGCUUCAUCACCUGAGGUUGUGAUUUCAUUUCUGCAUGAAAUGAGCAAGAUGGUUAGGCCAAGGGCUGAUGAGGAGUUUGAGGCAAUUAGGAAUUUUAAGAGAGAGAAAUGUGGUCAAAGAUGUAUUGAUUUGGAGCCCUGGGAUGAGACGUACUAUACAGCAAUGAUGAAAUCCUCUGCUCAUAAUUUGGAUUCUUCUAUUGUAGCCUCGUAUUUUCCUCUGCCACAAUGUAUUGAAGGUUUGAAAGUGCUGGUCAACUCAUUAUUUGGUGCAAUGCUUCGCAACAUCCCCAUGGCACCAGGUGAAUCGUGGCACCCUGAUGUGCUUAAAAUGUCUCUUCAUCAUCCUGAAGAGGGUGACUUGGGAUAUCUAUACCUUGAUUUGUACUCCAGGAAAGGAAAAUAUCCAGGUUGUGCUAACUUUGCUGUUAAAGGAGGCUGCCGCAUUUCUGAGACAGAAUACCAACUUCCUGUUGUGGCCCUUCUUUGCAAUUUUUCUGGUUCACCUGGCUCAUCAACCGUGAGACUUAAUCAUGGUGAUGUAGAAACUCUAUUCCAUGAGUUUGGACAUGCUCUCCAUUCAUUGUUCUCGAGAACGGAUUACCAACAUUUCUCAGGCACCAGGGUGGCUCUUGACUUUGCUGAAAUGCCUUCAAACCUCUUUGAGUACUAUGCCUGGGACUACAGAGUAUUAAGGACAUUUGCAAAGCACUACUCAACUGGUGAAAUAAUACCUGAGAAGUUGGUGAAGUCCAUGCAAGGUGCCAGAGAUAUGUUUGCUGCAACUGAACUGCAACGCCAGGUUUUUUACGCAUUGGCUGACCAAACACUCUUUGGAGAACAACCAGCUUCACCCAAUGAUAUGAGCUCUAUUCUUGCUGAAUUCAAAAUGCAGCACACCAGCUGGAAACAUGUGGAGGGUACAAAUUGGCAGAUCAGAUUCAGCCAUCUUGUAAAUUAUGGUGCAGGUUAUUAUAGCUACUUGUAUGCAAAAUGUUUUGCUGCAACCAUAUGGAAAAAGUUAUGCCAAGAGGAUCCACUUUCAUUAACUGCAGGAACUGCUCUUCGAACAAAAGUGUUGCAGCAUGGUGGAUCCAAAGAACCAGCUGAAUUAUUAAACGAUCUGGUAGGGGAAGGCAUUUUAAAGCAUUGUGAUGGAGGGAUCGUUCCUGACAUUACAUGUUUCUUGGAAGAAUCAAGGUUGGUAGUUGGUAGUUGGUAGGAGAUGAGUAGGAGCCAUUCUGCUUGUAACCAACCAAAAUAAAUCUCAAGGGAAGCAUGGGAAGAGAAUAGUUGUGUAUGGAAGAUACAAGAUGUUAUGUCAUGUGGAAGAUGAUAGAGCCAGGAAUGGCAGGGUAAUUGCGAGCAACCAAUCACCAGAAGUUGUCAAGGGAUGGGGUCAAAGAAUCAAGGAAGAAUGUAAUAACGAGGGAAAGAAAAUGAUGUCUCCUCUGUGCUAGGCAGCUAUGUACAAACUAUGAAGAGUCUUGAGAGACAUCUCUACUAGGCAUGCGUCGCUAGAAACAAGGAUAUAGCUCUUGGCAUUUCACUGAGUUUUCUGCAAGGCGAAAGGCAGUAAAAAAGGAAAUCCCUGCAACAUUUGGAUGUGAACUGGAAGAACAGUGUGGAAAUAGAUGGAUACUUACAGUUGGAUAACAAUUCUUUGUUAUGCUUCCGGUUCCAGUGUUCAACCCAGCCAUGUUGCCCCUGAAUUCGGUCUCUCAUGGAACAUCUUUACAUUACUAACAAACAUCAAGAUCUCUGAAGAAAUUACUGUGCAGUGCAAAUAUUUCCGGCUGAACAGAACUCAAAGAGGCAACUUGGAGGACACUGAAAAGUCCAGCACCGUUGGUAAGGACAGCAGACUGAGCUAAAGCAGGCAAAAGAACGCAACAGGAGCUAAAAAUAGCCUGGAGAUAGAGAGCAACAACCAUUAGAUGAGCGUUAAACAGCAACUAAUAGUCAAGUAGAUGAGUUUUCGGAUGAGUAAACGGCGAAAUUAGAACAGGAACAUACCACCAAUAGAGAUGCAUCGGUUCACCAAGAACUUCGAUUAUAAAAAUCUCUCGUAAAUUCAGCCUGCAAAAGUUCAGUAUAUAUGGCUUCUCUGAUUUUUUCAAAUCCUAGAACUGUGAUAGCCUAACUCAGUUCUCAUUUUCGACAAACUGUGUAUAUUGUCACGGUAGUACUCCAAAAAUGAACCGAGACCAUGAAUAAGAAGAUUUGCAGGACCUAGAUGGCCAAAAACUGU